rnacentral:misc_RNA from 1 species
GAUGAAGAACGUAGCGAAAUGCGAUAAGUAAUGUGAAUUGCAGAAUUCAGUGAAUCAUCGAAUCUUUGAACGCACAUUGCGCCCAUUAGUAUUCUAGUGGGCAUGCCUGUUCGAGCGUCAUUUCAACCCUUAAGCCCUCGUUGCUUAGCGUUGGGAGCCUACAAAGGAAACAAAACCCUCUGUAGCUCCCCAAAGAUAGUGGUGGAGUCGGUCUCACACCCCAGACGUAGUAGAAUUAAUCUCGUCUGCGGUUGGGCCGGUCCCCUGCCGUAAAACUUUUUAGUCUUAAAAAAAAGGUUGACCUCGGAUCAGGUAGGAAUACCCGCUGAACUUAAGCAUAUCAAUAAGCGGAGGA